UCUAACGAUAGUCGAUGUUCUAUGAUGCAGUUUAGUCUGAACUAAAAAUUGAAGAAAGCGCGUUAGCCAAUCAUCGAAAGCGGACAGUCGUGUAGUCUCCAGCCCUCACGGGCCGCAGGGAAUAUAAUCCAAUACCAGACCGCCAUUUAAACUGGAGAGAGUGAGAAAAAAAAUCCUUCCAGGGAAGAGUCGCCGGAGUUGUACGUUUCCCAGGAUUCUGGGCUGGCUCCUACGGUUACCCUGUUCACAGGUUUCAAACUUGGCAUUGUAACCUGGUAACAGCUGGGAGCAGGUUUGCCCGAGGCAGCUACAAAGAAGCCGUGCAGUUGAACCAGAUGGAAGAAAAGCCGAACAAUAAAUUGGCCGAGUUUGCUAAGAUCUCGGCGACAAUGAGUCUUGAAUCAAUGAUAUUUGGGGCUUACUUUCUAGGCACAAAAUAAAGGAAGCAGGAACAGAAACUGGGCCCCUAGAACAAUACCAAGUGUGAAAAAUAUUAUGCAAAUAAAGUGCAAGCGUUUACAA